GGUGAACGCUGGCGGCGUGCCUAAUACAUGCAAGUCGAGCGAACAGACGAGGAGCUUGCUCCUCUGACGUUAGCGGCGGACGGGUGAGUAGCACGUGGAUAACCUACCUAUAAGACUGGGAUAACUUCGGGAAACCGGAGCUAAUACCGGAUAAUAUAUUGAACCGCAUGGUUCAAUAGUGAAAGACGGUUUUGCUGUCACUUAUAGAUGGAUCCGCGCCGCAUUAGCUAGUUGGUAAGGUAACGGCUUACCAAGGCAACGAUGCGUAGCCGACCUGAGAGGGUGAUCGGCCACACUGGAACUGAGACACGGUCCAGACUCCUACGGGAGGCAGCAGUAGGGAAUCUUCCGCAAUGGGCGAAAGCCUGACGGAGCAACGCCGCGUGAGUGAUGAAGGUCUUCGGAUCGUAAAACUCUGUUAUUAGGGAAGAACAAAUGUGUAAGUAACUAUGCACGUCUUGACGGUACCUAAUCAGAAAGCCACGGCUAACUACGUG
rnacentral:rRNA from 1 species